AUGGAAUAUGUAUGUCAUGUGUAUUCUCUUUUAAAUGACUCACCCUUUGUGUCUAAUCCAGAGACGGUCCCAGAGCAUCUCAACCUGAGGAGCAGUGAAGUCUCCACAGAGAGCUUUAGGGUCACCUGGGAACACUCAGGCCAAGACGUGCUCCUUUACAGACUGUUCUGGAUCCCAACCAGAGGGGGAGACACUAAAGAAGUCUGUGAAGAUGCAGAUGAAUGGUAACAUUCACACCUACAUUGAAUACAAGGAGGCAAGUUUGAAAGUGACACCAUGACCAUCAAAGUGUCAACAGGUAAACUACAGGAUAUAUAGCUAAUGUAACCGCUCUCAAAAGACUUUGUAAUUGCACUUUUGCACAUUGAGCAUAACAGGGUCAAUGUAGUUGAUUAUAGUUGAGUAUGUAUAGUAUAGUGAUACUAUUGGGUAACGUUUAGGUGGGAAAAGACUUGGGUUUACCAAAAAAUUAUACAAAAAAGACAGCAGAGUUUACAAAAAUAUUACAUGAGGAACAAUUUAGAAAUAAUUUGAAAUGGGAAUUUUUAUGUUUGUGCUUUUCUGAUAACUCAUUUCUGUGUUUGUGCAAGUGACUGAUUUAACGAAUCCUCACUUAUCAGUAUCUGCAAUUUGGCAGUACACCCAGACCUUGUUUUGAGAAAGAAAAAAAUAUAUCUCAGUUUCAAGGUCUCAGUUUAGAGAGAAGAAUUCUCGUGAGGUGUUGGUCUGCCACAUGUUAUGAACCAGUAUUGGUCGGUGACAUGAAUGAAACAAAACGGUAAUGAUUAAUUCUGCUAAAUCAUACAAAUAUAGCUUGUCUGUGUAUAGCUGUAUAUAAGACAACUGCUGGAACUGUCCAGGAAGAGCUUGUGAUUGACUUGUAUAUUAUUGUGCUGUCACACCCUGAUCUGUUUCACCUGUCUUUGUGCUUGUCUCCACCCCCACCAGGUGUCUCCCAUCUCCCCUCAUUAUCCCCUGUGUAUUUAUACCUGUGUUCUCUGUUUGUCUGUUGCCAGUUUGUUUUGUACUUCAAGCCUACCAGCGGUUUACCCCUUGCGCCUGUCUUUUCUAUAGUUCCUGUUUUCCAAUUUUCCCGGUUUUGACCAUUCUGCCUGCCCUGACCCUGCCUGCCGUCCUGUACCUUGUCCCACCACACUGGAUUAUUGACCUCUGCCUGCCCUGACCCUGAGACUGUCUGCCGUUCUGUACCUUUUGGACUCUCUGGAUUACUGACCUUUGCCUGCCCUUGACCUGUCAUUUUGCCUAGCCCCUGUUCUAGUAAUAAAAUGUUGUUACUUCGACACUGUCUGCAUCUGGGUCUUCCCUAAUAGUGGUAGGUGCAUUGAGUUGGUUGGAACCUCUCCAGCACACUUACAAUACAUUAUGAUUAAUUUAAGAUUGACUUCCAGUGUCCCUGUGUAAUCAUUUCCACGACAAACUCAUGCUUGUUUUCAUUGCAAAGGUUGCUUUUAUCACUUAUCGUAAAUCACGUGGUACAUUAGUCAUAAACAGGAGAGACAGAUCCGUUACUGUACUUAUGAUCAAGAACAGAUUUGUCAAGAAAGUGAAACACUAGAAUAACAAGCAUUCUGUUUGACACAAUGAACCUAGGAUACUUCACAUACUUUCAGCUUUAGUAUGAAGAUCAACAAGGAUAAGAUCAUCAUCCUUCAAGGUCAAAUCAACUUACUGAUAAAUGU
ensembl:lncRNA